rnacentral:rRNA from 1 species
UACAGAGGUCUCAAGCGUUGUUCGGAUUCACUGGGCGUAAAGAGCUCGUAGGUGGUUUGUCGCGUUGUUCGUGAAAACUCACAGCUUAACUGUGGGCGUGCGGGCGAUACGGGCAGACUGGAGUACUGCAGGGGAGACUGGAAUUCCUGGUGUAGCGGUGGAAUGCGCAGAUAUCAGGAGGAACACCGGUGGCGAAGGCGGGUCUCUGGGCAGUAACUGACGCUGAGGAGCGAAAGCGUGGGGAGCGAACAGG